rnacentral:rRNA from 1 species
GACGAACGCUGGCGGCGUGCCCAAUACAUGCAAGUAGAACGCUGAAGAGAGGAGCUUGCUCUUCUUGGAUGAGUUGCGAACGGGUGAGUAACGCGUAGGUAACCUGCCUUGUAGCGGGGGAUAACUAUUGGAAACGAUAGCUAAUACCGCAUAACAAUGGAUGACACAUGUCAUUUAUUUGAAAGGGGCAAUUGCUCCACUACAAGAUGGACCUGCGUUGUAUUAGCUAGUAGGUGAGGUAACGGCUCACCUAGGCGACGAUACAUAGCCGACCUGAGAGGGUGAUCGGCCACACUGGGACUGAGACACGGCCCAGACUCCUACGGGAGGCAGCAGUAGGGAAUCUUCGGCAAUGGGGGCAACCCUGACCGAGCAACGCCGCGUGAGUGAAGAAGGUUUUCGGAUCGUAAAGCUCUGUUGUAAGUCAAGAACGAGUGUGAGAGUGGAAAGUUCACACUGUGACGGUAGCUUACCAGAAAGGGACGGCUAAC